rnacentral:rRNA from 1 species
GUAGGGGGCGAGCGUUGUUCGGAAUUACUGGGCGUAAAGGGCAUGUAGGCGGCUUGGUAAGCCUGGCGUGAAAGUCCACAGCUUAACUGUGGGACAGCGCUGGGAACUGCUGAGCUUGAGUUAUGGAGAGGGAGCUGGAAUUCCUGGUGUAGGGGUGAAAUCUGUAGAGAUCAGGAAGAACACCGAUGGCGAAGGCAAGCUCCUGGCCAAUGACUGACGCUGAGGUGCGAAAGUGUGGGGAUCAAAC